rnacentral:lncRNA from 1 species
CCCAGGGGCAUCAGCAGCCGCGGGCUCUCGGCCGCCGCCUGGGAACUCAGGGAUCUUCCUCUUACUUGACUGGGGAAUCCAAUCAGGAGCAGUGAAAGAUAUGCAAAUACCUUGAUGAUUUGCUCUUAUAAGGACUCAUCACUUCUCAAAAAACUUCCAAAUACACCUAAAAUGAGUUAUUCUUAAGAAGGAGAAUGAGGAUCCAACCCUUUAACUGAGAUCAAGAUCUAUUCCUGAGCAUCAAUGAGAGAAGACUGGACCAUGUGGGAACAGCUUAGAGUGAAGCCAACUCCCCAGGAGACCAAGUGAGGAAUGCAACACUAGGAUUCUUGACCAGAUUUCUACUAAAGCAAAGACUUAAGAACAGAACUGCAUGCUCCACAAGUAAACCCCAAUGGCCAGCAGAACGGAAAUGCUUCAAAGUUUGACUCAUGAAGAGUGGACCUCAAGUUUAUGACUUUUAGAUUAUAUUUCCCUAGACAUACUACUUGCACUUAUCUAGGUUCAAUCUCAUUUGCUCUUUCCUGACCAUGCUUUUGGCCGAUAGCUGAUAG